rnacentral:rRNA from 1 species
UUCUGGCUCAGGACGAACGCUGGCGGCGUGCCUAAUACAUGCAAGUCGAACGGUCUUUCUAUGGAAGCUUGCUUCCACUGAGAAGAUAGUGGCGAACGGGUGAGUAACACGUGGGUAACCUGCCCAUAAGAGGGGGAUAACAUCCGGAAACGGGUGCUAAUACCGCAUAGUUUUCUUGAUCGCAUGAUCGGGAAAGGAAAGACGGCCUUUGUGCUGUCGCUUAUGGAUGGACCCGCGGCGUAUUAGUUAGUUGGUGAGGUAACGGCUCACCAAGACGAUGAUACGUAGCCGACCUGAGAGGGUGAUCGGCCACAUUGGGACUGAGACACGGCCCAAACUCCUACGGGAGGCAGCAGUAGGGAAUCUUCCGCAAUGGACGAAAGUCUGACGGAGCAACGCCGCGUGAGUGAAGAAGGUUUUCGGAUCGUAAAACUCUGUUGUCAGAGAAGAACAAGUUGGAGAGUAACUGCUCCAGCCUUGACGGUAUCCGACCAGAAAGCCACGGCUAACUACGUGCCAGCCGCCGC